UCGGUCCCUAUCUGCCGUGGGCGUAGGAUACUUGAGAGGAGCUGCUUCUAGUACGAGAGGACCGGAGUGGACAUACCUCUGGUAAUCCAGUUGUCCCGCCAGGGGCAUAGCUGGGUAGCCAUGUAUGGAAGGGAUAACCGCUGAAAGCAUCUAAGCGGGAAACCCUCCUCAAGAUUAGGUAUCCCUCUACCGCAAGGUAGACUUAAGGACCCUUGUAGACUACAAGGUUGAUAGGCCGGGGGUGGAAGCGCAGUAAUGCGUGGAGCUGACCGGUACUAAUUGUCCGUGCGGCUUAAUUAA
rnacentral:rRNA from 1 species